UACGUAGGGUGCGAGCGUUGUCCGGAAUUACUGGGCGUAAAGCGUGCGCAGGCGGCUUUGCAAGACAGAUGUGAAAUCCCCGGGCUUAACCUGGGAACUGCAUUGUGACUGCAAGGCUGGAGUGCGGCAGAGGGGAUGGAAUUCCGCGUGUAGCAGUGAAAUGCGUAGAUAUGCGGAGGAACACCGAUGGCGAAGGCAAUCCCCUGGGCCUGCACUGACGCUCAUGCACGAAAGCGUGGGGAGCAAACAGG
rnacentral:rRNA from 1 species